rnacentral:rRNA from 1 species
GAUCAUGGCUCAGGACGAACGCUGGCGGCGCGCCUAACACAUGCAAGUCGAACGAGAGAGAGGAAGCUUGCUUCCUCAAUCGAGUGGCGAACGGGUGAGUAACGCGUGAGGAACCUGCCUCAAAGAGGGGGACAACAGUUGGAAACGACUGCUAAUACCGCAUAAGCCCACAGCUCGGCAUCGAGCAGAGGGAAAGAGCAUCCGCUUUGAGAUGGCCUCGCGUCGUA